CGUUCAACCUCACCCUUCCUUGUUUAUCCCGCCUAUAUACCGCCGUCGUCAGCCCACCCUGUGAAGGUCCAAUAGUGAGCAGGAUCGGUAGAACCCAAAACGCCAGGUCGAGGUGUAGCGUAUGAGAGGGGAAGAAAUGGGCUACAUUUCCUAACACAGGAAAUACGAAUAAUGCACUGAAAUAAGCAUAUUGAAGGAGGAUUUAGCAGUAAAUGAAAAGCAGAGCGUUUCAUUGAAGUCGGCUCUAAAGCGCGCACACACCGCCCGUCACUCUCCCCAAAACAUAAUCUUUUUAUCUAUAAUCCCCUUAAAUCAAAUUCGGGGAGAAAAGUCGUAACAUGGUAAGUGUACCGGAAGGUGCACUUGGAAAAAC
rnacentral:rRNA from 1 species